UACGAAGGGGGCUAGCGUUGCUCGGAAUCACUGGGCGUAAAGCGCACGUAGGCGGAUUCCUAAGUCGGUGGUGAAAUCCUGGAGCUCAACUCCAGAACUGCCUCCGAUACUGAGAGUCUUCGAGUCCGGGAGAGGUGAGUGGAACUGCGAGUGUAGAGGUGAAAUUCGUAGAUAUUCGCAAGAACACCAGUGGCGAAGGCGGCUGACUGGUCCCGGUUACUGACGCUGAGGCUGCGAAAGCGUGG
rnacentral:rRNA from 1 species